CCUGGGCCGGCCCCGCCCCGCCCCGCCCGCGCCCGUAAAUCCCGGCGGAGCCGCGCCCGCGCCGCUUUCUGCAGUGGAGGCUCAGCCCGGGAUGCGGCGGGACCGGCGCUCGGAGCUGCGCACCGGGGGCUGCUGCCGGCGCCGCGCGGAGCUUGAGGCGCUGAGCUCGCAGUCUCUACUGCAAAAACCUCUGGGUUUGAAAGGCCAGUGGAAACUGUUUACUCUUUAUUUCCAAGUCAUAAGAUAUCGUGAAUGGGAAGGAACACAAAAAGAGCACCAAGUUGAACCCUUAUGUGAAUGGCUCAUCUGGAGACCGAACCCCCAGCCCGGGCAUUUUCAGCACCCUGCUCCACCCAAGCCAAUCUCGGGUCAUGGCAAUGUCCUGGCUGCGAUGGGAAUGCCAAAUGCCAGCCAGGGAAUUCCCAUGCCAGUGCAGCUCCCUCUUUUAUGCUCACACUGCUUCCCACAGCAGCCCCUGGGAUGUCCAUAGGGCAGAGCUCCAUGGCCACACCUGACCAUGGAACAACACAGGUGAACAGUUGUGUAACAGCACAAAACUCUUCCCAUAACCCGAGUUCCUGUCUUUUCCAGCAGUGCCCUGAUGGCUGUCAAGGUGCUCAGCCCUGUCCCUUUCCAGGGAGAAAGGAGCAGCACAAGCCCUGAGGGUUCCCGUGCUCCGUGGCCAGAGUUCUUCUGGAGAGUGCCAGGGCUGCUCCUGCCUGCAGAGGGGCCUUUGCUGCAGGGGAGGAGCUGUGCCUCAGUGUCCCGCCCGCGGCAGCAGCGGCCAAACACAGCCCGGGGAGGGGCGCUGGGAUGCCCAGGCAGCGCCGGGAUGGACACGGACCAAGGGCUGCCCGCGGCUCCUCGGCCGGGGGCUGCUCUCCACAGGCACCCGGAGAUGCUGCAGCCCGGACAGAGCCCACUGACAGCCCAAAAACAGCCCAAGGAACAGCUGGAAUGCCUGGGAAUGUCGGCACGUUGGGUCUGCAGAGGAGCUCAGACAGCAAUUCCCGGUGCCACCUCCUGGAGCUCCCACACCCCCACCUGUGAGAAGAACAUGAACUCACAGAGAUUAAGGCCUGGCAGUCCCCUGCAGUGAGAGCUCAGUGCACAUCCACAGAGGCAAUUCCAGCAUCUGAAAGAAAGGAGAAGAAAAAGGGACUGCUGCAAUCCAACUCUGAAGCUGACAAGCCCCAAAGCUCUUUCUGUCUGCUCUGGAACCAAAGGAUCCUCCAGGGCUGGGGCCCAUUCCCAGCAAACACUCCCAACACGGCCCAGAGGCACCCCUGGAGCUGUGUGUGGGGCUGGCAGGGGCUGCAGGAGGACACAGCCCCAGGGCUGGCAGUGGCAGUGACAGCAGCAAUUCCCAGGCUCUGGUGGCACAGCAGGGACAAAGGCCAGCAAUGCCCACGGGAGGUGCAGGUUUCAUUCUGCUCCCUGCGCUGCCACAGCCUGGCAGGAAAUCUCCAGGGGCACAGAAACUCUCAGGGUGCCCAAAAUGCAGCAUCUGUCCCCCUGAUCCUGGGUGAACUCAGCGUGUGGGGCCAACCCCCACAGGCAAACCCUGCCCUGAGCUGGCUCAGGCUCAGACACUGCCCCAGCUCUCACCUGCAGCUGCUCCCGGGGCUGCUGCCACAUUCCUGACAGGAGCCAAAGGCCCUUUGGGCAGGGCUCUCUCUGUGCCUCAGGCCUUGGGGACUGCAGGGAGCAGGGCAAGGACAGCCUGGAACCAGGGCAGAGCCCUCUGGCUUUGGGACACUCUGGGGACAGCUGGGGACUCACCCCACACCAUGGGCAGGCCCAGGGGCCCUCCAGGGCAGGCCAGCAGGGCCAGAGCCUGCUGGGCUUGGCUGCUCAAACACCAAAGCCUUGGGCAAAGAUGGGGUGAGUUAGGUAGGUUUUCCUGUCCUGAAAGAGAGGAGAAAAUGGAAAUUAAGUCCACUCAAAGGCUCCUGGCUUUCCUACUUGUGUUCUGAUUGCUCACUAGAGGGUUCUAUCCAUAAAAAAUGAGAGGUGACACCAAAUAAAAGUGUCCCUUUUCAACA